CAAUGACGGUGACGGUCAUUUUUAAUCAUGAGUCACGUUGAUGAGCUGAGGUGGAAGUUUCUUUGCAGAGCCAGUGCCAAGACCACAUGACUAAUGACCGUGAACAAAAAGUUGUUAGCAUGAACACUCGCGUUCAAACCAAAAACUCGGACAAGAGCUGCACAGAAAUAUGAAUAAAAAAAGUUGAGGAGUAAUUCCACUCUGCGAAGAUGGACAACCAGCGAAGCUGUUAAGCACAUGGCGUCGAGGUAAUAUUGAAUGAAGUAGCCACCGCCAAGCCUGGC
rnacentral:lncRNA from 1 species